AGAGUUUGAUCCUGGCUCAGGACGAACGCUGGCGGCACGCUUAACACAUGCAAGUCGAACGAGAGAAGAGGAGCUUGUUUUUCUGAUCUAGUGGCGGACGGGUGAGUAACACGUGAGCAAUCUGCCUUUCAGAGGGGGAUACCGAUUGGAAACGAUCGUUAAUACCGCAUAACAUAAUUGAACCGCAUGAUUUGAUUAUCAAAGAUUUAUCGCUGAAAGAUGAGCUCGCGUCUGAUUAGCUAGUUGGUAAGGUAACGGCUUACCAAGGCGACGAUCAGUAGCCGGACUGAGAGGUUGAUCGGCCACAUUGGGACUGAGACACGGCCCAGACUCCUACGGGAGGCAGCAGUGGGGAAUAUUGCACAAUGGAGGAAACUCUGAUGCAGCGAUGCCGCGUGAGGGAAGAAGGUUUUAGGAUUGUAAACCUCUGUCUUCAGGGACGAAAAAAGACGGUACCUGAGGAGGAAGCUCCGGCUAACUACGUGCCAGCAGCCGCGGUAAUACGUAGGGAGCGAGCGUUGUCCGGAAUUACUGGGUGUAAAGGGAGCGUAGGCGGGAUCGCAAGUCAGAUGUGAAAACUAUGGGCUUAACCCAUAAACUGCAUUUGAAACUGUGGUUCUUGAGUGAAGUAGAGGUAAGCGGAAUUCCUAGUGUAGCGGUGAAAUGCGUAGAUAUUAGGAGGAACAUCAGUGGCGAAGGCGGCUUACUGGGCUUUAACUGACGCUGAGGCUCGAAAGCGUGGGGAGCAAACAGGAUUAGAUACCCUGGUAGUCCACGCCGUAAACGAUGAUUACUAGGUGUGGGGGGACUGACCCCUUCCGUGCCGCAGCAAACGCAAUAAGUAAUCCACCUGGGGAGUACGACCGCAAGGUUGAAACUCAAAGGAAUUGACGGGGGCCCGCACAAGCAGUGGAGUAUGUGGAUUAAUUCGAAGCAACGCGAAGAACCUUACCAGGUCUUGACAUCGUAUGCAUAGCUCAGAGAUGAGUGAAAUCUCUUCGGAGACAUAUAGACAGGUGGUGCAUGGUUGUCGUCAGCUCGUGUCGUGAGAUGUUGGGUUAAGUCCCGCAACGAGCGCAACCCUUACUGUUAGUUGCUACGCAAGAGCACUCUAGCAGGACUGCCGUUGACAAAACGGAGGAAGGUGGGGAUGACGUCAAAUCAUCAUGCCCCUUAUGACCUGGGCCUCACACGUACUACAAUGGCUGUCAACAGAGGGAAGCAAAGCCGCGAGGUGGAGCGAACCCCUAAAAGCAGUCUUAGUUCGGAUUGUAGGCUGCAACCCGCCUACAUGAAGUCGGAAUUGCUAGUAAUCGCAGAUCAGCAUGCUGCGGUGAAUACGUUCCCGGGCCUUGUACACACCGCCCGUCACGCCAUGGGAGUCGGUAACACCCGAAGCCUGUAGUCUAACCGCAAGGAGGACGCAGUCGAAGGUGGGAUUGAUGACUGGGGUGAAGUCGGAACAAGGUA
rnacentral:rRNA from 1 species